UGGGGAAUCUUGGACAAUGGGGGCAACCCUGAUCCAGCCAUGCCGCGUGAGUGAUGAAGGCCUUAGGGUCGUAAAGCUCUUUCGCCUGUGAAGAUAAUGACGGUAGCAGGUAAAGAAACCCCGGCUAACUCCGUGCCAGCAGCCGCGGUAAUACGGAGGGGGUUAGCGUUGUUCGGAAUUACUGGGCGUAAAGCGCACGUAGGCGGACCAGAAAGUUGGGGGGUGAAAUCCCGGGGGCUCAACCCCGGAACUGCCCCCUAAACUGCCGAGCUAGAAUCCUGGAGAGGUGAGUGGAAUUCCAAGUGUAGAGGUGAAAAUUCGUAGAUAUUUGGAGGAACACCAGUGGCGAAGGCGGCUCACUGGCUCGAUACUGACGCUGAGGUGCGAAAGUGUGGGGAGCAAACAGGAUUAGAUACCCUGGUAGUCCACACCGUAAAACGAUGAAUGCCAGUCGUCGGGGUAGCAUGCUAUUCGGUGACACACCUAACGGAUUAAGCAUUCCGCCUGGGGAGUACGGUCGCAAGAUU
rnacentral:rRNA from 1 species